GACGAACGCUGGCGGCGUGCUUAACACAUGCAAGUCGAACGGAAAGGCCCCUUUGGGGGUACUCGAGUGGCGAACGGGUGAGUAACACGUGAGUAACCUGCCCUUGACUUCGGGAUAACUUCAGGAAACUGGGGCUAAUACCGGAUAGGAAUCCUUGCUGCAUGGUGGGGGUUGGAAAGCUUCGGCGGUUUUGGAUGGACUCGCGGCUUAUCAGCUUGUUGGUGGGGUAGUGGCUUACCAAGGCUUUGACGGGUAGCCGGCCUGAGAGAGCGACCGGCCACAUUGGGACUGAGAUACGGCCCAGACUCCUACGGGAGGCAGCAGUGGGGAAUAUUGCACAAUGGGCGGAAGCCUGAUGCAGCAACGCCGCGUGCGGGAUGACGGCCUUCGGGUUGUAAACCGCUUUCAGCAGGGGCGAAGCUUGUGGUGACGGUACCUGCAGAAGAAGCACCGGCUAACUACGUG
rnacentral:rRNA from 1 species